GCGGUUCCAGCCACAGACGAAGGGGGUUGAGGAAAAGAGUUGGGGGCCGGGUGAGGGAAGUCGGGGUGCGGCCAGACGGACAUACCUUGGGCAUUCAGGUAAUAAUUUCAAGAUGCCAGGGCGUUCCAAUUCAAGUUCAGGUGCAACUGGUUUCAUAUCCUUCAGCGGUGUAGAGUCUGCUCUCUCCUCCUUAAAAAGCUUCCAAUCCUGUAUCAACUCUGGAAUGGAUACAGCAUCUGGUGUUGCUUUGGAUCUUGUGGAAACUCAGACUGAAGUGAGUAGUGAAUAUAGUAUGGACAAGGUGAUGGUUGAAUUUGCUAUAAUGGAUCGUCAACUAAACCAUUAUGUAAAGGCUGUUCAAUCUGCAAUAAAUCAUCUACCAUGCUUAGCACAUAGAGGGCACUCAUUGACUGUUGGAUGGGUAAAAGAAGAACGUCCAGAAAAAAUACCAGACUUAAAAUUAUUAGUGGAGAAGAAAUUUUUGACUUUACAGAGUAAGAAUUCUGACGCAGACUUUCAAAAUAAUGAAAAAUUUGUGCAGUUUAAACAACAGCUUAAAGAACUAAAGAAACAAUAUGGUCUUCAGUCAGACAGAGAGGCUGAUGGAACAGAAGGGACUGAUGAAGACAUGAUUGUGACCCAGAGUCAGACCAACUUCAUCUGCCCCAUCACACAGCUGGAAAUGAAAAAGCCGGUGAAAAAUAAAGUGUGUGGCCACACCUAUGAGGAGGAGGCCAUCGUUCGCAUGAUCGAGUCCAAGCAUAGGCGGAAGAAGAAGGCCUGUUGCCCUAAAAUUGGCUGUAGCCACACAGAUAUAAGGAGGUCAGAUCUCAUCCAGGAUGAAGCACUCAGAAGGGCGAUUGAGAGCCACAAUAAGAAAAAACAUCGUCAAUCCGAGUAGGGAAAAGCCACCUGCCGCAGGGAAGUCAGCAGCUACCUCCUACCCCAGCCAUCUGAAUGAAGUCCAGGCCUGGCAUUCAGGAUUCUACCACAGACGAGCCUCCUUCUCUCCCUCCAAGGCUGCCCCAUCUUCCCAACAUUCCAGCUCCCCCUCUCUUUGUGGCAGUAUUUCUUCCAGCAGGGCAGCUAACCCUCAGUACUCCUGACUAGGAAGUGUCAGUGACCUCAAGCCAAUCUCUUCACUGCUCCAGGCCGCAAGUUUGCCAUAUAAACUAAAAGAUGGAGACCUCUCCCUAAGGUUUCUUUAAAAGCUCUAAGAUUACAUGUCAUAUUUUCAAUGAAUAGGUCCUCUGGGAAGUAUACAGCCCUUUUGAAGGAAAGCAGGCUGAAAUGGAAAUUAGUAUAUAUUUGAACCAAAUGUGUACAUUGAAUCUUCAACUGUUUAUUCAACAAAUAUUUUUAGGCCAACUUUAUGCCAUGUUUUGUGGUAGUCUCAGGGUACAAAAAUUCCCCCUCUGAAGACCUUGUCUAGUUGGGCAGACAGACGUAAAAAACUAAAUUCCAUAAAAGGUUGUGUGAGUGCUGUGCAUAGGGGACAGUAACACAAAGAAAAUAAAUACAGGAAAAUGAUUGAGUAGACAAAAAUUAUGUUUUAGUAGAUCAGGUAACAAGGUUCAAAACAAAUAAUAAAAAGUCAGUGAAAGCUCUGACUGGGAGAUGGGAUGGGGUGUUGAAUCUUGAGGGUGGAUCACCCAGCUGCAUGGAAAUCGGUUAUGUUUUGGAAAUGUGCCUUCAAGCUUAUGCCAGAUUUGUGGAGGGGGGAUAACAAUUCUGAAAAGAAGUCAGAUAAAACUGAGGGGGUACAGGGACCCUCAUACAUUGCUUGUGGAAAUGCAAAUCACAGCCACGUUGAAAUCAGUUUGGCUUUUUAAAAAAAUGUUAAACAUAAAACUUACCACACAACCCAGUAAUUCCACUCCUAGGUGUGUCUACCCAAGAGAAGUAGAAACAUAUGUUCAUACAAAGACUUGUGUAUAAAUAUUCAUAACAGCAUGACUUAUAAGAGCAAAAAAAUUUUUGGAAACAAUCCAAAUAUCCACCCGGGGAAUGGGUAAACAGUAUGUGGUGAAUCCAUACAAUGGAAUACUAUUUGGCAAUAAAAAGUAAUAAAGUACUUUUAAAAAACCUC